UACGAAGGACCCAAGCGUUAUCCGGAUUUAUUGGGUUUAAAGGGUGCGUAGGCGGGUUAUUAAGUCAGUGGUGAAAGCUCCUAGCUCAACUGGGAAAUUGCCAUUGAUACUGAUGAUCUUGAGUAUGAUUGAGGUGGGCGGAAUGUGUCAUGUAGCGGUGAAAUGCUUAGAUAUGACACAGGACACCGAUUGCGAAGGCAGCUCACUAAGCCAUAACUGACGCUGAUGCACGAAAGCGUGGGGAGCAAACAGG
rnacentral:rRNA from 1 species